rnacentral:ncRNA from 1 species
CUUCCCGAGGAGCGUUGCAACGGCAGCCAUGCCGCCAGGCUCGGGGCGUUCGAGGCCAGCCGCCUCCCACCGCAACGGCGCUCACCCACU